GAUGAACGCUGGCGGCGUGCCUAAUACAUGCAAGUCGAGCGAACAGAUAAGGAGCUUGCUCCUUUGACGUUAGCGGCGGACGGGUGAGUAACACGUGGGUAACCUACCUAUAAGACUGGGAUAACUUCGGGAAACCGGAGCUAAUACCGGAUAAUAUUUCGAACCGCAUGGUUCGAUAGUGAAAGAUGGUUUUGCUAUCACUUAUAGAUGGACCCGCGCCGUAUUAGCUAGUUGGUAAGGUAACGGCUUACCAAGGCGACGAUCCGUAGCCGACCUGAGAGGGUGAUCGGCCACACUGGAACUGAGACACGGUCCAGACUCCUACGGGAGGCAGCAGUAGGGAAUCUUCCGCAAUGGGCGAAAGCCUGACGGAGCAACGCCGCGUGAGUGAUGAAGGUCUUCGGAUCGUAAAACUCUGUUAUUAGGGAAGAACAUACGUGUAAGUAACUGUGCACGUCUUGACGGUACCUAAUCAGAAAGCCACGGCUAACUACGUG
rnacentral:rRNA from 1 species